GCAUAUCAAUAAGCGGAGGAAAAGAAACUAACCAGGAUUCCCCUAGUAACGGCGAGCGAACAGGGAAGAGCCCAACUUGAAAAUCCUCAGUUCUUCGCGGAACUGUCGAAUUGUAGUCUAAAGAGGAUGCCUCUGCUUCCGCCUUAGCCCAAGUUCCCUGGAACGGGACGCCAGAGAGGGUGAGAGCCCCGUCGGCUGAGGCUUACGCUCCACGAGGCUCCUUCACCGAGUCGCGUAGUUUGGGAAUGCUGCGCUAAUUGGGUGGUAAACUCCAUCUAAGGCUAAAUACCGGCGAGAGACCGAUAGCGAACAAGUACCGCGAGGGAAAGAUGAAAAGAACUUUGAAAAGAGAGUUAAAAAGUGCUUGAAAUUGUUGAGGGGGAAGCGAUUGGAGGCUACGGGUGUUCCUUGGUAUUCGCGGCAACCCCGUUAUUUACACAAGGAGCUGGUCAGCGUGGGUUUCCUCUUUCGGAUUUGGCGAUCGAGGAGACUGAGGCUCGGAGACGAUGUCCAGACGCUGGCGGAAGGUUUCCAAUCGGCCCGUCUUGAAACACGGACC
rnacentral:rRNA from 1 species